UGCGUAGGUGGUUGUUUAAGUCUGUUGUGAAAGCCCUGGGCUCAACCUGGGAACUGCAGUGGAAACUGGAUGACUAGAGUGUGGUAGAGGGUAGCGGAAUUCCCGGUGUAGCAGUGAAAUGCGUAGAGAUCGGGAGGAACAUCCAUGGCGAAGGCAGCUACCUGGACCAACACUGACACUGAGGCACGAAAGCGUGGGGAGCAAACA
rnacentral:rRNA from 1 species